AAUUCUCAACCAUUAUUAGCUUUUGCUGAUGAUGGCUUGGAUAUGGGGGUUUAUUUUGCUGGCUUCUUUACAGAUGGUCAGCUCCCCUUAAAUGCAUUAGCCGGUGCCCCGCGUGGACUGUCUAUUGGUGUGAUAAUUAUCUACGCCGUCGACAUCUACAAUCAUAUGGGUUUGCACUGCUUCCAACCGUCUGUUUAUUCAGACAAUACAUGACA
rnacentral:misc_RNA from 2 species